CAGUCGCCACGGUAAUACAGAGGGUGCAAGCGUUAAUCGGAAUUACUGGGCGUAAAGCGUGCGUAGGCGGUGAGCUAAGUCUGCUGUGAAAUCCCCGGGCUCAACCUGGGAAUGGCAGUGGAUACUGGCUCGCUAGAGUGUGUCAGAGGAUGGUGGAAUUCCCGGUGUAGCGGUGAAAUGCGUAGAGAUCGGGAGGAACAUCAGUGGCGAAGGCGGCCAUCUGGGACAACACUGACGCUGAGGCACGAAAGCGUGGGGAGCAAACAGGAUUAGAUACCCCAGUAGUCCCUGUCUCUUAUAC
rnacentral:rRNA from 1 species